rnacentral:rRNA from 1 species
UUGAACGCUAGCGGGAUGCUUUACACAUGCAAGUCGAACGGCAGCGCGGACUUCGGUCUGGCGGCGAGUGGCGAACGGGUGAGUAAUGUAUCGGAACGUGCCCAGUAGCGGGGGAUAACUACGCGAAAGCGUAGCUAAUACCGCAUACGCCCUACGGGGGAAAGCAGGGGAUCGUAAGACCUUGCACUAUUGGAGCGGCCGAUAUCGGAUUAGCUAGUUGGUGAGGUAACGGCUCACCAAGGCGACGAUCCGUAGCUGGUUUGAGAGGACGACCAGCCACACUGGGACUGAGACACGGCCCCGACUCCCAAGGGAGGCAGCCGGGGGGAAUUUUUGACAAUGGGGGCAACCCUGAUCCAGCCAUCCCGCGUGUGCGAUGAAGGCCUUCGGGUUGUAAAGCACUUUUGGCAGGAAAGAAACGUCGCGGGCUAAUACCCCGUGGAACUGACGGUACCUGCAGAAUAAGCACCGGCUAACUACGUG